rnacentral:rRNA from 1 species
GCACAAGCGGUGGAGCAUGUGGUUCAAUUCGAAGCAACGCGCAGAACCUUACCAGCCCUUGACAUGUCCCGUAUGAGUACCAGAGAUGGAACUCUUCAGUUCGGCUGGCGGGAACACAGGUGCUGCAUGGCUGUCGUCAGCUCGUGUCGUGAGAUGUUGGGUUAAGUCCCGCAACGAGCGCAACCCUCGCCCUUAGUUGCCAUCAUUCAGUUGGGCUCUCUAAGGGGACUGCCGGUGAUAAGCCGCGAGGAAGGUGGGGAUGACGUCAAGUCCUCAUGGCCCUUACGGGCUGGGCUACACACGUGCUACAAUGGCGGUGACAGUGGGACGCAAUGGGGUAACCCUGCGCAAAUCUCAAAAAGCCGUCUCAGUUCGGAUUGUGCUCUGCAACUCGAGCACAUGAAGUUGGAAUCGCUAGUAAUCGUGGAUCAGCACGCCACGGUGAAUACGUUCCCGGGC